rnacentral:rRNA from 1 species
CCCUUAGAUGUUCUGGGCUGCACGCGCGCUACACUGAUGCGCUCAACGAGUUUUAACCUUGCCUGGAAAGGUUGGGUAAUCUUUUUAAAACGCAUCGUGAUGGGGAUAGAUUAUUGCAAUUAUUAAUCUUCAACGAGGAAUUCCUAGUAAGCGCGAGUCAUCAGCUCGUGCUGAUUACGUCCCUGCCCUUUGUACACACCGCCCGUCGCUACUACCGAUUGAAUGGUUUAGUGAGGACUCCUGAUUGGCGCCGCCGCCCCGGCAACGGAGCAGCGGACUGCCGAAAAGUUGUUCAAACUCGAUCAUUUAGAGGAAGUAAAAGUCGUAACA